rnacentral:tRNA from 1 species
CCGUGGGGUAGCUUGGUUAUCCUACCGGCUUUGGGAGCCGGUGACUCCGGUUCAAAUCCGGGCGGCCCCA